rnacentral:misc_RNA from 1 species
GAUGAAGAACGCAGCGAAAUGCGAUACGUAGUGUGAAUUGCAGAAUUCAGUGAAUCAUCGAAUCUUUGAACGCACAUUGCACCUCUCGGUAUUCCGGGAGGUAUGCCUGUUCGAGCGUCAUUUGUACCCUCAAGCUCUGCUUGGUGUUGGGUGUUUGUUCCGCCUCUGUGUGUGAACUCGCCUCAAAACAAUUGGCAGCCGGCGUACUUGUUUCGGAGCGCAGCACAUUUUGCGAUCCAGAUCAACGUACAGCGGCAUCCAAGAAGCCUUAUUUAACGCUCUUGACCUCGGAUCAGGUAGGGAUACCCGCUGAACUUAAGCACAUCAAUAAGCGGAGGA